UCGGGUUAGACUUUUGUUUACUUGACCUAGAACUUCUCUGCUUACACAGAUGAAGUAAGAAUCCAACAGGCUUCCUAUCCGUCUCACUCCCAGGAAGACCAAGGCCAUGGUCUGAGCCAGGUGGCCUGCUUCCUUGCUGUCCACCGUGGUGACCAUACCCCUCUCGCCCUGGAGCCAACCACCCCAGGAGCCAGUCACUCCCAUGGCACUCCGUUUUCCAGACUGAGUGGCCGUGGCUCCCACUAUAAGUUCUGGCCCACAGAGGAGUGAUUGGAGCCCUUCAGGGGUGCCAGGGCUCCCCUCUCAGGUUUAUUCCUCACCGCUGUGGGAAGAGCUGUGUCUCUGGAUCCUCCCACGUGGGUGAGCAGGUCUCAAAUGAUGGGCCAUCUCCCAGCCUCUGAACCCCUCCUGCAGGAAACAGGCAAGUCCUGCAUUUCCAAUUCAUUCACAGCCAAACAGCCCACUAGAGCCCUUCCUGCCCCGGCACCACGACCUCCGCUGCAGCCUCCACUCAGUGGGGCCCGUGGCCGACAACUUGAUCUUCCCCCCACUGUAUCCCAUACUCUCCUCUGUCCAGGGCUGCUGCUCCCAUAAAUCAGAAGACUCAAGCCCCUCUCUGGGAGCAUAGCCCUCCUCCUCCUCGUGGGUCACACCUCCCUCUUACUCACCUUCGGUAGCCUCAGGGGAGGCCGACACUGGUCACCCAGGCAGUGUGGGGUUGACCUCUUCAGAAGUGGGGGGAGAGGCUGACAUCGGGGGUGCUGCUCUGGGAGAAAGAGGCCCACCUGCGGGGCUGGGUGCUGAGUGCCCCACCCACAUCUUCUCAUUAACUUGGGACAAACUAUCACCCUGGCCUGCCUCCCAGCUCCUGUCCUGUGUUUUCUUGAAUAGGUUUCCUCUGCCUUCUCUAAGGACUGGACACAUCCACUAUGACUUCAGAGGCCAGAAGAACGAGUCUGUAAUGAAAACAGCUCACUACCUGGAAGGGGAUGCCACACCUGGUUACUUGAAGGCCAGAGUGCCCCUGGUCACUGUCUCUAUGCCACACGCCUGGAUUCCUGGGCCUAGAGACAUAAGACAGGCCACCACCAGCAAGAGUGUCCAGCUAUCAACAGGUGUGGCUGGGAAUUCAUAUGUGCCACACCCCAGGGCUACCUGCCCCACUGGUGCCUCCCAGCUCCUGUCCUGUGUUUUCUUGAAUAGGUUUCCUCUGCCUUCUCUAAGGACUGGACACAUCCACUAUGACUUCAGAGGCCAGAAGAACGAGUCUGUAAUGAAAACAGCUCACUACCUGGUGAGCUCAUCUAGGUCCAAUUUUGGGGGGAGCACACCAGUGACCCGACCUGACCCUCCUCACGCCACCGGCCUUGCCCCCACAUUCCUUCUGCCCCAGGUCCCAGCACCUGUCCCUCCCUCCCCACCCCUUCCUGCAUCAUCCUCCUCACACUGUCUGCCUGUCUCCUGGUCUGCCCAACCCAUGUGA
rnacentral:lncRNA from 1 species